rnacentral:rRNA from 1 species
UACGGAGGGUGCAAGCGUUGUUCGGAAUCAUUGGGCGUAAAGGGCGCGUAGGCUGUUCAGUAAGUCGGAUGUGAAAGCCCCGGGCUCAACCCGGGAAGUGCAUCCGAAACUGCUGGACUUGAGUACGGGAGAGGGAAGUGGAAUUCCUGGUGUAGGGGUGAAAUCCGUAGAUAUCAGGAGGAACACCGGUGGCGAAGGCGACUUCCUGGACCGAUACUGACGCUGAGGCGCGAAAGCGUGGGGAGCAAACAGG